rnacentral:rRNA from 1 species
GUACACUCCUGCGGGAGGCAGCAGUGGGGAAUUUUGGACAAUGGGCGAAAGCCUGAUCCAGCAAUGCCGCGUGAGUGAAGAAGGCCUUCGGGUUGUAAAGCUCUUUUGUCAGGGAAGAAACGGUGAGAGCUAAUAUCUUUUGCUAAUGACGGUACCUGAAGAAUAAGCACCGGCUAACUACGUGCCAGCAGCCGCGGUAAUACGUAGGGUGCAAGCGUUAAUCGGAAUUACUGGGCGUAAAGCGUGCGCAGGCGGUUUUGUAAGUCUGAUGUGAAAUCCCCGGGCUCAACCUGGGAAUUGCAUUGGGGACUGCAAGGCUAGAAUCUGGCAGAGGGGGGUAGAAUUCCACGUGUAGCAGUGAAAUGCGUAGAUAUGUGGAGGAACACCGAUGGCGAAGGCAGCCCCCUGGGUCAAGAUUGACGCUCAUGCACGAAAGCGUGGGGAGCAAACAGGAUUAGAAACCCGUGUAGUCCCAUGAU